rnacentral:rRNA from 1 species
UACGUAGGUGGCAAGCGUUAUCCGGAUUUAUUGAGCGUAAAGGGAACGCAGGCGGUCUUUUAAGUCUGAUGUGAAAGCCUUCGGCUUAACCGGAGUAGUGCAUUGGAAACUGGGAGACUUGAGUGCAGAAGAGGAGAGUGGAACUCCAUGUGUAGCGGUGAAAUGCGUAGAUAUAUGGAAGAACACCAGUGGCGAAAGCGGCUCUCUGGUCUGUAACUGACGCUGAGGUUCGAAAGCGUGGGGAGCAAAUAGG